ensembl:lncRNA
UUACCACUUUGGAGAGUCGUGGUGAAACUUGAGUUUUGUAUCUGUGUGCUUGUUUUGCAUUAAUAUUAAAGUCACAACAGUCAGCAGCAUUAUACGGCCUGGGAGUUUGACUUAGCAGCUGACAAAAUAAGAUGAAAGUGAAAAAAACCAGGAGAGUUGAAACUGUGUGUUUGAUUUGGUGGUGAAAAAAAAGCUCUACAGCGCAGCAUCGCUAUGUUUUGCAUGGUAGUGUUAUAUCGAUUCAGGGCAAGCAAACACCUCAGUCACACAAGUAAAAAUAGGUCAGCAGCCACUCGCCUAGCUUGGGAGUCAAUGCACCUAGUGCUCCGAUUACCACUGGGACCACUGUUACCUUCACCCUCCACAUCCUCUCGAGCUCUUCUCUGAGCCCUUGGUACUUCUCCAGCUUCUUGUGUUCCUUCUUCCUGAUGUUGCUGUCCUCCAUCGAUCACUACAGACGUCUUCUUCUGUUUGUCUACCACCACUAUGUCCGGUUGGUUAGCCACCACCAUUUUUGCCCGUCUGUGUCUGGAAGUCCCACAGGAUCUUAGCUCGGUCAUUCUCCACCACCCUAGGGGGCGUCUCCCAUUUUGACCUCAGGACUUCCAGGUUAUACUCGGCACAGAUGUUCCUGUACACUAUGCCGGCCACUUGGUUAUGGCGUUCCAUGUAUGCCUUGCCUGCUAGCAUCUUUCACCCUGCUGUUAUGUGCUGGAUUGUCUCUGGGGCAUCUUUACACAGCCUGCACCUGGGGUCUUGCCUGGUGUGAUAGACCCCAGCCUCUAUGGAUCUUGUGCUCAGAGCUUGUUCUUGUGUUGUCAUGAUUUGUGCCUCUGUGCUGUCUUUCAGUUCAGCUUUGUCCAGCCACUGGUAGGAUUUCUGGAUGCUCUCCACUUCCUCUAUCUGCUGGUGGUACAUAGCAUGCAGGGGCCUGUCCUUCCAUGAGUGCUCCUCCUCUUGCUCGUGUUUCUGCUGCCUGAGGCAUUCAGUAGAGGAUUCCCAGGUACUUGUAGCUGUCCUCAAUGUCAGCGAUGUUGCCUUUUGGCAGUUCUGACUACUUUCCCUCUCUUCGUUACCAUCCGACUACGCUUCUCCAAUCCAAAUGACAUUCCAAUGUCGUUGCUGUAAAUCCUGGUUGUGUGGAUCAGUGAAUCAAUGUCUCGUUCACUCCUAGCAUACAGCUUGAUGUCAUCCAUGUAGAGGAGGUGGCUCACAAUUCCUCCAUUCCAGUUUCAUUCGGUAUCUAUAGCCAGUCUAUCUACAUAUACAUAUAUAGAGAGGAUAUUGGAUUGACUGCAGUCACUCUCAGAGAGCUCUUUGAAGGUUUGUAAAUAGCUGCUGUCUAAUAUAUAAAUGCAAACAGAUUGCCAACAUGUUGGUAUCAGUCUGAAUGAGUCUUUGUCAAUGACAUCAACUCGAGGAGACGCGACCCAACUUGGCCACCAGCUGGUUGUAUUGUGGUUAUUUUCCUAUAGGUUGCACAUUUCUCGUAAAUGUGAAUUCUCUCUGUUUUCGAUGGUUUUUCACAGUUAUUUACUGUAUUACCAAAAACAGAUUGCAUGUAAUUGCCAACUUGACCCAAUUCAGUCACAGACAGCAGCAGACUCUGACAGCAGACUGACUGUCUUACAGCAGGUUUCAUUGGCAGGUUCCAUAUGUGUGAAAGUCUCAUUUUGCAGCAAAAAAUAACUUUAUCUUAUUGAAUUAAAGUUUUCCUCUGAGGAAAUAAUUUGUGGUUGAAAAGAGGUGAUAACUUUCAUAUAUCAUGUGAUAUCAUUGUGUUGUGAGUUGUGUGGUGAUUCCCACUCAAAGAGAUAUACAAAAAUUCUCCUCCUCAUGUACAUUUCAGUACAAUAUUGUGUUUCCUUUAAAAACUCUUGAAUUAGCUUACAGUACUUCUACACCUUUUUCCCAUCAUUCAGAAAAUUCAAAAUGCACAAAUAUUUUCUACUACUUUUUACCAGAUAUUUC